rnacentral:snRNA from 1 species
GUGCUCGCUUUGGCAGCACAUAUACUAAAAUUGGAAUGAUACAAAGAUUAGCAUGACCAAUGCACAAGGAUGACAUGCAAAGUCAUGAAGAGUUCCAUAUUUUU